rnacentral:rRNA from 2 species
UUACCUCAGUAACGGCGAGUGAAGCGGUAACAGCUCAAAUUUGAAAUCUGGCCUCACGGUCCGAGUUGUAAUUUGUAGAGGAUGCUUCGAGCAUGGUCUGGCCUAAGUUCCUUGGAACAGGACGUCAUAGAGGGUGAGAAUCCCGUAUGCGGUCAGGUGCCUACGCUCAUGUGAAGCUCCUUCGACGAGUCGAGUUGUUUGGGAAUGCAGCUCAAAAUGGGUGGUAAAUUUCAUCUAAAGCUAAAUAUUGGCCAGAGACCGAUAGCGCACAAGUAGAGUGAUCGAAAGAUGAAAAGCACUUUGGAAAGAGAGUUAAACAGUACGUGAAAUUGUUGAAAGGGAAGCGCUUGCAACCAGACUUGCGCGCGGCCGAUCAUCCGGUGUUCUCACCGGUGCACUCGGCCGUGCUCAGGCCAGCAUCGGUUUUGGCGGCUGGAUAAAGGCCCUAGGAAUGUAGCUCCUCUCGGGGAGUGUUAUAGCCUAGGGUGCAAUGCAGCCUGCUGGGACCGAGGACCGCGCUUCGGCUAGGAUGCUGGCGUAAUGGUUGUAAGCGGCCCGUCUUGAAACACGGACCAAGGAGUCUAACAUCUAUGCGAGUGUUUGGGUGUCAAACCCAUACGCGUAAUGAAAGUGAACGGAGGUGAGAACCCUUAAGGGUGCAUCAUCGACCGAUCCUGAUGUCUUCGGAAGGAUUUGAGUAAGAGCAUAGCUGUUGGGACCCGAAAGAUGGUGAACUAUGCCUGAAUAGGGUGAAGCCAGAGGAAACUCUGGUGGAGGCUCGCAGCGGUUCUGACGUGCAAAUCGAUCGUCAAAUUUGGGUAUAGGGGCGAAAGACUAAUCGAACCAUCUAGUAGCUGGUUCCUG